AAAAUAAAAUAAUGCUAAUUAAAUUGUUUAUUAAUUAACGACAGCAAUAGCGGCUCGUCAAAUUUUUCCAUUUACAAAAAUACGAUUAACCGUUGCGCAUUCUGUGAAUGGAAUUAUCAAUUCGAAGGACUUCAUAUUUGCAACAAUUCUCAAAAACGCUUAUCUUGGGAUACCGUCCCAAUAUCCCGUUUCUGCGAUCGUUGUCCGUGCAAACUUGCUGUACAAAAUCGUGUAGAAAGUAGAAUAAAUUUAUCCAGGAUCCGCCUCUCUUUGUUUGUAAAAUUGAAGGGAAAAAAAAUCACAUAUAUAUAUACCCGACUCUGAAAUACACAAUUUCUAGGAUCAAACGCUACUUAAAUUUCAAGUGGUGUCAACAGUAAGCGAAAUUCCGUAGAAAAGAAAGGAAAAAAAUUCUAGAACGAAUCAUUAAACUUAAGGAAUCGAGAAAUUACUCUGCGUAAUGCAACAACGACAACAAAGAGGAAAGACACAUAUGGACGGAGAAAGGGCAGAGAGAGAGAGAGACGAAUAGAGAGGGAGAAAGAAAAAGGAAGAGAGAAUAAAUAGCAUCGAUUCGAUAAUUGCCAAUGAAUGAAAGUGCGAUCACGAAGUAACGAUCAAAGUGUACGAUAAAGAGAUUACACCGAGAUUACGACCAAUAGUCAGUGUAUCCAGUGUAUUCGUAUACUUCAAAUACCAAAAAAUUAAUAUUAAGAAGCUUGUAGCAAUUGCCGAACAUGAAACCAAAAAAAAAACAAAAAAGGAAGGAAGGAAGGAAGAAAGAAAGAAAGAAAGGAAGGAAAAAAGAAAGAGAGAAAGAAAGAAAAAAAACGUAAGCCAAAAGGGGAACGACAUAUACCCAUGGACUUACAGGUGUCACUUUAUAUACCAAUAAUCAUACAGAAUAAGGUACAGUUCUACGAGCUAGCCGGCGAAAUUGCCAUUCUCCUACGAUACUAUCCCUAAAACUAACUAUAUAUAUGUAUAGCGCUAUAUAUAGUUUUAUUGCGCGCAAACAACAAUAGGAAAAGAAAAAAAAUUUUACUAUUGUGACUCGAUACGUAUAAUGUAUAAAUAUAUCUAUAUAUAUAUCCGUACACGAAGAUGGACAUUGAACGAUUUCUUCCACAUAAUAUACAUAUACGAUGUGCGUGUAUCCACGUGUGAGACGUUUUCUCGAUACACACAAGAGACGAGAAGAUAGGGAAGCGAUAAGAAAAAGUUGGGAAAACACACUCACUUUCCCUAAAACAAAUACAAAAAAGUUGAAUUCGAAGAAGAAUAUUUCGAUCGUGGACGACUGUUUAAGUUAUAUUCGAGUGAUUGAAGUUUGCGCCUGUAGAGGGACGCCUGUAGACAGGCAAUCCGCAUAUACGGUUGGCAACACCGUAUUGCAGGUGACACUCGUCCAGCCGAGCCUCUCGAGCUCACGGCGUAAUGAAAAUUUUAAUUUACUCAAGAUAUUGCUUAAAGAUUUUUAAUAGUAUAUAUAAAAAAAAGAAAACUUUUAAUAUUUAUUUUUUUUUUCCUCCGAUAAUAAAAAUCUUUUUGUUAAAUAAUAAUUGUUUUAUUCUUUUGAUCAACAUUUAUUAAAUCCCCCUCUCUCUUUUAUAUUUGUCUCUAGGUAUCCAGAAUCGAUUUUCCAAAGACUUUUUCAAGAAUAUAUUAACAUUCUAUAUAUGUAUACAGGGUGCUUAGCUACAGACGUCCAAAAAAUUGAAAGAAACGAUUCGCUUCGAAGUGAAAUAAGCGCAAAAAAUCAAAAAUAAAAAA